AAGGUCGGGGAUGACGUCAAGUCAUCAUGGCCCUUACGGCCUGGGCUACACACGUGCUACAAUGGUCGGUACAAAGGGUUGCCAAGCCGCGAGGUGGAGCUAAUCCCAUAAAACCGAUCGUAGUCCGGAUCGCAGUCUGCAACUCGACUGCGUGAAGUCGGAAUCGCUAGUAAUCGUGAAUCAGAAUGUCACGGUGAAUACGUUCCCGGGCCUU
rnacentral:rRNA from 1 species